rnacentral:misc_RNA from 1 species
GAUGAAGAACGUAGCGAAAUGCGAUAAGUAAUGUGAAUUGCAGAAUUCAGUGAAUCAUCUAAUCUUUGAACGCACAUUGCGCCCGCCAGUAUUCUGGCGGGCAUGCCUGUUCGAGCGUCAUUUCAACCAUCAAGCCCCAGGCUUGUGUUGGGGACCUGCGGCUGCCGCAGGCCCUGAAAACCAGUGGCGGGCUCGCUGUCACACCGGGCGUAGUAGAUUUUAUCUCGCUCUGGGCGUGCUGCGGGUUCCGGCCGUUAAAAAACCCUUUUAACCCAAGGUUGACCUCGGAUCAGGUAGGAAUACCCGCUGAACUUAAGCAUAUCAAUAAGCGGAGGA